GCUGAGUAACACGUCGGUAACCUACCCUCGGGAGGGGGAUAACCCCGGGAAACUGGGGCUAAUCCCCCAUAGGCCUGAGGUACUGGAAGGUCCUCAGGCCGAAAGGGGCUUUUGCCCGCCCGAGGAUGGGCCGGCGGCCGAUUAGGUAGUUGGUGGGGUAACGGCCCACCAAGCCGAAGAUCGGUACGGGCCAUGAGAGUGGGAGCCCGGAGAUGGACACUGAGACACGGGUCCAGGCCCUACGGGGCGCAGCAGGCGCGAAACCUCCGCAAUGCGGGAAACCGCGACGGGGGGACCCCCAGUGCCGUGGCAUCGCCACGGCUUUUCCGGAGUGUAAAAAGCUCCGGGAAUAAGGGCUGGGCAAGGCCGGUGGCAGCCGCCGCGGUAAUACCGGCGGCCCAAGUGGUGGCCGCUAUUAUUGGGCCUAAAGCGUCCGUAGCCGGGCCCGUAAGUCCCUGGCGAAAUCCCACGGCUCAACCGUGGGGCUUGCUGGGGAUACUGCGGGCCUUGGGACCGGGAGAGGCCGGGGGUACCCCUGGGGUAGGGGUGAAAUCCUGUAAUCCCAGGGGGACCGCCAGUGGCGAAGGCGCCCGGCUGGAACGGGUCCGACGGUGAGGGACGAAGGCCAGGGGAGCGAACCGGAUUAGAUACCCGGGUAGUCCUGGCUGUAAAGGAUGCGGGCUAGGUGUCGGGCGAGCUUCGAGCUCGCCCGGUGCCGAAGGGAAGCCGUUAAGCCCGCCGCCUGGGGAGUACGGCCGCAAGGCUGAAACUUAAAGGAAUUGGCGGGGGAGCACUACAAGGGGUGGAGCGUGCGGUUUAAUUGGAUUCAACGCCGGGAACCUCACCGGGGGCGACGGCAGGAUGAAGGCCAGGCUGAAGGUCUUGCCGGACGCGCCGAGAGGAGGUGCAUGGCCGCCGUCAGCUCGUACCGUGAGGCGUCCACUUAAGUGUGGUAACGAGCGAGACCCGCGCCCCCAGUUGCCAGUCCUCCCCGCUGGGGAGGAGGCACUCUGGGGGGACCGCCGGCGAUAAGCCGGAGGAAGGAGCGGGCGACGGUAGGUCAGUAUGCCCCGAAACCCCCGGGCUACACGCGCGCUACAAUGGGCGGGACAAUGGGAUCCGACCCCGAAAGGGGAAGGGAAUCCCCUAAACCCGCCCUCAGUUCGGAUCGCGGGCUGCAACUCGCCCGCGUGAAGCUGGAAUCCCUAGUACCCGCGUGUCAUCAUCGCGCGGCGAAUACGUCCCUGCUCCUUGCACACACCGCCCGUC
rnacentral:rRNA from 1 species